rnacentral:tRNA from 1 species
GGAGAGGUGGCAGAGUGGUCGAAUGCGGCGGCUUGCUAAGCCGUUAGACGGGGUAAACCUGUCUCCAGGGUUCGAAUCCCUGCCUCUCCGCCA